UAGGGAAUCUUCGGCAAUGGGGGCAACCCUGACCGAGCAACGCCGCGUGAGUGAAGAAGGUUUUCGGAUCGGAAAGCUCUGUUGUAAGAGAAGAACGUGUGUGAGAGUGGAAAGUUCACACAGUGACGGUAACUUACCAGAAAGGGACGGCUAACUACGUGCCAGCAGCCGCGGUAAUACGUAGGUCCCGAGCGUUGUCCGGAUUUAUUGGGCGUAAAGCGAGCGCAGGCGGUUUAAUAAGUCUGAAGUUAAAGGCAGUGGCUUAACCAUUGUUCGCUUUGGAAACUGUUAAACUUGAGUGCAGAAGGGGAGAGUGGAAUUCCAUGUGUAGCGGUGAAAUGCGUAGAUAUAUGGAGGAACACCGGUGGCGAAAGCGGCUCUCUGGUCUGUAACUGACGCUGAGGCUCGAAAGCGUGGGGAGCAAACAGG
rnacentral:rRNA from 1 species